GACGAACGCUGGCGGCGUGCUUAACACAUGCAAGUCGAACGGAAAGGCCCCUUUGGGGGUACUCGAGUGGCGAACGGGUGAGUAACACGUGAGUAACCUGCCCUUGACUUCGGGAUAACUUCAGGAAACUGGGGCUAAUACCGGAUAGGAAUCCUUGCUGCAUGGUGGGGGUUGGAAAGCUUCGGCGGCUUUGGCUGGGCUCGCGGCUUAUCAGCUUGUUGGUGGGGUAGUGGCUUACCAAGGCGUUGACGGGUAGCCGGCCGGCGAGGGCGACCGGCCACAGUGGGACUGAGAUACGGCCCAGACUCCGACGGGAGGCAGCAGGGGGGAAUAUUGCACAAGGGGCGGAAGCCUGAUGCAGCAACGCCGCGUGCGGGAUGACGGCCUUCGGGUUGUAAACCGCUUUCAGCAGGGGCGAAGCUUGUGGUGACGGUACCUGCAGAAGAAGCACCGGCUAACUACGUG
rnacentral:rRNA from 1 species